rnacentral:rRNA from 1 species
UACAUAGGGUGCGAGCGUUAAUCGGAAUUACUGGGCGUAAAGCGUGCGUAGGCGGAUAUUUAAGUCAGGGGUGAAAUCCCAGAGCUCAACUCUGGAACUGCCUUUGAUACUGGGUAUCUCGAGUAUGGAAGAGGUGAGUGGAAUUCCGAGUGUAGAGGUGAAAUUCGUAGAUAUUCGGAGGAACACCAGUGGCGAAGGCGGCUCACUGGUCCAUUACUGACACUGAGGUGCGAAAGCGUGGGGAGCAAACAGG